rnacentral:misc_RNA from 1 species
GAAAUGCGAUAAGUAAUGUGAAUUGCAGAAUUCCGUGAAUCAUCGAAUCUUUGAACGCACAUUGCGCCCCCUGGUAUUCCGGGGGGCAUGCCUGUCCGAGCGUCAUUGCAACCCCCUCAAGCACGGCUUGUGUGUUGGGUCCUCGUCCCCCGUGGACGGGCCCGAAAGGCAGUGGCGGUAUCGUGCUUCCGGUGCCCGAGCGUAUGGGGCUUUGUCACCCGCUUCGGAGGCCCGGCCGGUACCCGCCGACCCCCCUUCUUCUUCUAGGUUGACCUCGGAUCAGGUAGGGAUACCCGCUGAACUUAAGC